rnacentral:rRNA from 1 species
ACAGCAGUAGCCGCGGGAAUACGGAGGGUGCAAGCGUUAAUCGGAAUUACUGGGCGUAAAGCGCACGCAGGCGGUUUGUUAAGUCAGAUGUGAAAUCCCCGAGCUUAACUUGGGAACUGCAUUUGAAACUGGCAAGCUAGAGUCUUGUAGAGGGGGGUAGAAUUCCAGGUGUAACGGUGAAAUGCGUAGAGAUCUGGAGGAAUGCCGGUGGCGAAGGCGGCCCCCUGGACAAAGACUGACGCUCAGGUGCGAAAGCGUGGUGAGCAAACAGGAUUAGAUACCCCUGUAGUCCCUGUCUCUUAUAC